rnacentral:tRNA from 1 species
CGGGGAGUAGUUUAAAGGUAGAAUUGGCGCAUGGGGUGCGUCAGGCUCGGGUUCGAUUCCCGGCUCCCCGA